CUUACUUGCUCAGUCCAGAAACGGAUUGGCAUGAAGGGAUGUCUGUUGAGCGGCGGUUGUAGGAGACAUUUCUUUGCCCCAAGGAAAAGCUAGAAAAUUUGAUCUCUUUCUUCUCCGGGAUCUGGUCAUGUGGACAUGUGACUCUGGGAUCUGUGAAGCCUUGUUGCUGCCAGUUGGAGGAUGAAGCCAACACUGAGGAGGCCGAGCAGGAUGAGGGAUCUAUCUCCUUGAUCCUGCCAUUGAGCCAUGGACCCACUGCCUUGAAGCUGCAUCUCUGGACUUUACACUGCGUGAAAUAAUACAUAUCUUUAAUGUUUAAGCCAUUUUAGUUGUGUUUUCUAUUACUUUAGCUAAAAGUACCAUUACUAAUACUGAUGUCUCUGCUUUCAGCGAUGCAUCCCAAAAGCAGUGGGAGGAUUAAAAAAAUAUUCUGUAAUCGCAAUGAAUUGGGGAAGGAAUUUUCUCCUCUUGUAAGAAAGAAUUACUUCCUAAAAAGUUUCUCAGAAGCCAUUUUUUGGAAUGUAACUCUAAAACCUUUCUUAAAAUAGAAACUAUCUACAUACCUGUAUUAUGCUUGAUAUGUUUGAUCUAUAGCUCUCGACUUUUUUUGAGACAGUGUCUUGCGAUGUUGCCCAGGUUGGAUUCAAACUCCUUGACUCAAGCAAUUCUCCCACCUCAGCCUACUGAGUAGCUGGGACUACAGGUGUCCACUCCCAUGCCUGGCCCUAUCUAUAUUUUUUGGAGAGGCGACACAUAAAGUUAGUAAGCAUAUCAUAAUUGGGGACAUAUCAACUCACAGAAAACAAACAUUUCAGGAUUGUGUUAGUCUGUUGGUGAAUUCUUCUCUUUUUCCUCCUCUUUUCCUCCUCCUUCCUCUCUUUCUUUAUCCAUACUUUCUACAUAAACAUUUUGGGAUAAAAUUUGAGAAGGAAUAUUUUAAAAUGUGAUUUGCAAGCUGGAUCAGUUUUAAGACCGAGUUUGCUAGCCCUUGAUUAUCUCCCUGUCCACAUCUUUUCCAUGCAUGCCAGCAGGGAAGGGGCAUGAAAGCAACGAAGGCCUUUUGAAGGGUGCUCCCAUCCACACCUAUUCUAUCCACACCUUUAUCUCAUGGCCAUUAAACCCCAGGCAUCCAUUCUGGACUCUGGUUCUUAGUGGAAGACGUUUCUUUCCUGCUAACCAUACAGAUUGGGCUUAGUGCAAUCUGGGGCUAUUUAUGUCUCCAUAUCCCAAGGCAAUGAUGAUAACUGAUAGCAUAGUGAAUCAAAGAAGCCAUGUUAGUGUGCUGUCCCACUGCUUGACAGCUGUCUGAGGGAUUCACUUAUAUACUCUCACUGCUGGAGCUUCAGCAAAGGUGACUCUGAAAUUGCAUGGUGAAAUUGAUCCUGGGCCAUUCAGUGAGGAGACUCACGCAUGUGGGAGGCUCAUCUCCCAACCAGUCUCCCACAGUCCUGUGUCCCACCCCUCCCCCCGCCCUCCAAUGCUCUCUUCACAUUGCAGACCCUCCUGGCACUCUUAAAAAUGAUUUUUGGUCAUGCCACUCUCUUUCGCUUAAAUACCUUUGUUAGCUCCCUGUCACUUAGGGAUAAAAUUUAAAUGUCUUUCCUUGGCAUCCCUGAGUGUUUUGAGCCUGGCUUACAAUUUAAAAAUUUUUUAGAAAAUCAAAUAAUACCUACCAUGGUUAAAAAAUAAAUAAAGAGGCUCAAAACAGUCCCUUGAUCCACCUUUCUCAUCAUCCUUUAUCCAUAGAGACCCUCACUUUUUUAUUUUUAAUUUUCGUGGGUACAUAGUAGGUAUAUAUAUUUAUGGGUUACAUGAGAUAUUUUGAUACAUGCAUGCAAUGUGUAAUAAUCACAUCAGGGUAAAUGGGGUAUCCAUCACCUCAAGCAUUUAUCCUUUAUGUUACAAACAAUCCAAUUAUGCUCUUUUAGUUAUUUUAAAAUGUACAGUUAUUUUUGACUAUAGUCACCCUAUUGUGCUAGCAAAUACUAGGUCUUAUUCAUUUUAUUUUUGGUACCCAUUAAGCAUUCCGCCUGUACCCCCAAAACCCACUACCCUUCCCAGCCUCUGGUAAACAUCCUUCACUCUUUAUCUCCAU
rnacentral:lncRNA from 10 species